GGGUCAGUAGGUUGGUCGUGCCACCGGUACGUACUGGUCUCACUGAUUCCUCCUUCCUGAAGAACCGUAAUGCCAUUAAUUUGGUGUUGCGGGGGAAACAGGACUGUUACUUUGAAAAAAUUAGAGUGUUUAAAGCAAGCUAACGCUUGAAUACAUUAGCAUGGAAUAAUGAAAUAGGACGAUCGAUCCUAUUUUGUUGGUUUCUGGGAUUGACGUA
rnacentral:rRNA from 1 species